rnacentral:rRNA from 1 species
AGAGUUUGAUCAUGGCUCAGAUUGAACGCUGGCGGCAGGCCUAACACAUGCAAGUCGAGCGGUAGCACAGAGAGCUUGCUCUCGGGUGACGAGCGGCGGACGGGUGAGUAAUGUCUGGGAAGCUGCCUGAUGGAGGGGAUAACUACUGGAAACGGUAGCUAAUACCGCAUAACGUCGCAAGACCAAAGUGGGGGACCUUCGGGCCUCAUGCCAUCAGAUGUGCCCAGAUGGGAUUAGCUAGUAGGUGGGGUAAUGGCUCACCUAGGCGACGAUCCCUAGCUGGUCUGAGAGGAUGACCAGCCACACUGGAACUGAGACACGGUCCAGACUCCUACGGGAGGCAGCAGUGGGGAAUAUUGCACAAUGGGCGCAAGCCUGAUGCAGCCAUGCCGCGUGUAUGAAGAAGGCCUUCGGGUUGUAAAGUACUUUCAGCGAGGAGGAAGGCAUUAAGGUUAAUAACCUUGGUGAUUGACGUUACUCGCAGAAGAAGCACCGGCUAACUCCGUGCCAGCAGCCGCGGUAAUACGGAGGGUGCAAGCGUUAAUCGGAAUUACUGGGCGUAAAGCGCACGCAGGCGGUCUGUCAAGUCGGAUGUGAAAUCCCCGGGCUCAACCUGGGAACUGCAUUCGAAACUGGCAGGCUAGAGUCUUGUAGAGGGGGGUAGAAUUCCAGGUGUAGCGGUGAAAUGCGUAGAGAUCUGGAGGAAUACCGGUGGCGAAGGCGGCCCCCUGGACAAAGACUGACGCUCAGGUGCGAAAGCGUGGGGAGCAAACAGGAUUAGAUACCCUGGUAGUCCACGCCGUAAACGAUGUCGACUUGGAGGUUGUGCCCUUGAGGCGUGGCUUCCGGAGCUAACGCGUUAAGUCGACCGCCUGGGGAGUACGGCCGCAAGGUUAAAACUCAAAUGAAUUGACGGGGGCCCGCACAAGCGGUGGAGCAUGUGGUUUAAUUCGAUGCAACGCGAAGAACCUUACCUACUCUUGACAUCCAGAGAACUUAGCAGAGAUGCUUUGGUGCCUUCGGGAACUCUGAGACAGGUGCUGCAUGGCUGUCGUCAGCUCGUGUUGUGAAAUGUUGGGUUAAGUCCCGCAACGAGCGCAACCCUUAUCCUUUGUUGCCAGCGGUUAGGCCGGGAACUCAAAGGAGACUGCCAGUGAUAAACUGGAGGAAGGUGGGGAUGACGUCAAGUCAUCAUGGCCCUUACGAGUAGGGCUACACACGUGCUACAAUGGCAUAUACAAAGAGAAGCGACCUCGCGAGAGCAAGCGGACCUCAUAAAGUAUGUCGUAGUCCGGAUUGGAGUCUGCAACUCGACUCCAUGAAGUCGGAAUCGCUAGUAAUCGUAGAUCAGAAUGCUACGGUGAAUACGUUCCCGGGCCUUGUACACACCGCCCGUCACACCAUGGGAGUGGGUUGCAAAAGAAGUAGGUAGCUUAACCUUCGGGAGGGCGCUUACCACUUUGUGAUUCAUGACUGGGGUGAAGUCGUAACAAGGUAACCGUAGGGGAACCUGCGGUUG